UAGACGAGGUGUAGGAAGCAGAGCUUGUG
rnacentral:piRNA from 1 species